UACGGGGGGAGCAAGCGUUGUUCGGAUUUACUGGGCGUAAAGGGCGCGUAGGCGGUCACCGCAAGUCAGUUGUGAAAUCUCUGGGCUUAACCCAGAAAGGUCAACUGAUACUGCGGGGCUAGAGUGCAGAAGGGGCAACUGGAAUUCUCGGUGUAGCGGUGAAAUGCGUAGAUAUCGAGAGGAACACCUGCGGCGAAGGCGGGUUGCUGGGCUGACACUGACGCUGAAGCGCGAAAGCUAGGGGAGCGAACGGG
rnacentral:rRNA from 1 species